rnacentral:snRNA from 1 species
GUGCUUGCUUCGGCAGCACAUAUACUAAAAUUGGAGUACAGAGAUGAUUAGCAUGGCCCUUGAACAAGGAGAACAUGCAAAUUCAUGAAACAGUCCAUAUUUUC